rnacentral:sRNA from 1 species
UGAUGAUGAGGUGCAAUUCGCUGGGAG